AAUGGUAAUCUUAUCAACUAUAAUAUCAUCAAAGUUGUCGUAAAAAUCAAAAUAUUGGAGUAAAAGUUAUAGUCAUGAUCAGUUAUAAUAAAAGCGCCGUAAAAAGAACACAGGAAAAAGAUAGCGACUCUUCGAGGGGGUUCCAUUGCAACGCGUCUCGCAGUUUAAUUACCUGGGUCAUAUUGUCACGGAAGAUCUGAGUGACCAUAUGGAUAUUGAAAGAGAGCGUAGGGCUCUCUUUCAAAGCGGUCCGAUGCAACAUGGUGGCCCGCAGUUUUGCUAAAUGUACCGCUGACGUCAAGGGUCAUCCUUAUCAACUUCUAAUCCAGUCCAUCGCAGAGCAAGCUUCAACCAACUUCUUUGAACUAUCAUCAGACCAACGCUCCACCAAAUGGAUUUAGUAUAUUUCUAUUUAUUUUGUUCAGAGGAUACAUACGCGCACUUUAGCGCCAAAUGUUUGUGUAAUAAAACUGUAAUCGUGGCCUUAAUUAACUUAGUUAUUCCUUUACCUUUGACGUAUAUGUUACUGUAAAAGCCCGAACUACGGAACGUCUUAAGAAUUUCCAGUAUAUUUUGACAUUUACCAACAUUGAAUGGUAUA